CACAAACCAGCAGAGCACAGCCUGAAGCCAGGCCACGACUUGGUGAAUAACGUCAGGCUCACACAUCUGGCCUCCGGAAUGCGGAGGGCCCAGAGGACAGGCCUGGGGUUCUGCUGCUCCUUGGGGCAGGCUCUUCCUCUGAAAUCACCAAGGCUGCUUCGCUGAGAAAAGUCUUGGGCUUUCCAGGCUCUCCUGGCCCAACUCAGGUGGUGACGUGUGAAAUGGGCAUUCUUUGCCCACUGACGAAGACCAGGUCUCCAUAGACACAGGAUCAAAAGAAGCAAGGCUCCAGCAUCUGAUGGCUCUGGAGUGGAUCCCUGGCUGGGCGACCCUGGCCAGUACUUUGGAUUCCUCCUCUGUGCACGAGCAUCACAUUCUGCAGGGUCUGGAGGAAGGAUAACCUGCAGAAUGCCUGGCAGCUGCUGGACGUCCAAUCAAUGCUCCUGACCGCCCGCCCAAGUCAGCGAACAAGACCGUUACUCUGCCAGGGCUAGGACCUGGGCGCGUUGGAGGUUUUGCUGCCUGUUAGUGAAAGAAAGCUGUCAAUCAGGAACUGGAAGAUGCCGCUUGCAGGGACCCAGUGAUGGUCUGUCCUGUGAAGAGCCUCCCCAGCUUAUCCUUGAGCAAGGGGGAUACCUAGGAGUGGAAUUGCUGGAUCACAUGGAUUUCCUACAUAUAGAAUCAUGUCAUCUGAGAAUGAAGACAGUGUACUUCUUCCUUUCCAGUCUGGAUGCCUCUUGCCUGUUUCUUGUUCCCGUGAGGCUUGUUCCUGUUUGGGGGUGUCUGCCUGAAUUGUUCUUCCCCCAGCUGUUCCAUGGCUCACUCCCUCACCUCCUUAGGUCUUUACUCAAAUGUCAACUUCUUGCCAAGGCCUUCUUGGAACACCCUACUUAAAUUGAACCCCUCCUCACACCCCACACCCCUAACCCUUUUUCAUGCUUUGUAUUUCUCCACAGCACUGACCAUCUCAGACUUUAUACCUCUCCCCUCUCAAGAUGGUCCUGAGAGUUCCAAGAACAAAUAAUAUGCCUGGAAGGAGGGCCUGAGCUGGUGCUUAGCCAGGGUUGGAUGAAGGAGGGUCCAGAAGGGGUGUUCUCUGGGGCACUCAGACCCCUGCCCCACCCUUCCUGGCUGGGAGGGGAAGGGGCUCCAUGCAAAUGGGAAGACAUUCAGGAGGCACUAGGUGGGGGUCCCCGGGGAGGCUCAUAUACACCCGUGCCUGCCUAAACAGCUCAGCCACACCCAGACAGGGGCCAACCUCGACAAGGGUCUACCUGAAGCUUGUUUGCACUUCAUUUCACCUGAAUAGAAAAUGCUGGCACUCAGGAGAUGGGGAGGACAGAGGUAGGCUCCCAGUGACUGCUCCAGCUGCAGACCCGCUAGAGGUGAUCCUGCCUUUGGAGACUCCACUCUGCCCCUGGCAACCAGGAAAAUACGUUCCCUAUUUGCAUGGGGUUAAGGAACGGGAUCUCUUUACACCCCCUCCCUUAUCUGGAGCUUGUCCCAGAACUAGGACUGGGGUUAGCCGGGGGUGGGGGUGGGGGGGUGAUCCCGGAGCCCAGUCUGAGCAUAGGUGGGUGGAGGCUGCAGUGGAAAGAGCCCCCAGCUGGAUGUCAGACAAUCCUGGGUCCCUGUCCUGCUCUGUGUUUUUGCAGCAGAAUGAACUUAAGGCCUGAGAGUCAAGCCCUGGGUGGGUUUCCACCUCCAUCAAAUAGGCCUGAGGAAGCCCCCUCACCCUGGGUGGGAGGUUUGCUCCCCUACUCUGGGUCUCCAUUUCUUCAUCUGUACACCCAGUGUAAGAAUACAUCCUCCGUACAGCCACUAUGGAGAACAGUAUGGAAGUUCCUUAAAAAACUAAAAAUAGAACUACCAUACGACCCAGCAAUCCCACUACUGGGCAUA